UACGUAGGGGGCUAGCGUUGUCCGGAAUCAUUGGGCGUAAAGAGCGUGUAGGCGGCCCGGUAAGUCCGUUGUAAAAAGUCGAAGGCUCAACCUUCGAAUGCCGAUGGAUACUGCCCGGGGCUAGAGUCCGGAAGAGGCGAGUGGAAUUCCUGGUGUAGCGGUGGAAUGCGCAGAUAUCAGGAGGAACACCGGUGGUGUAGACGGCUUACUGGACCACGACUGACACUGAGGCACGAAAAGCGUGGGGUAGCAAAACAGG
rnacentral:rRNA from 1 species